rnacentral:rRNA from 1 species
GCAGCCGCGGUAAUACGGAGGAUGCGAGCGUUAUCCGGAUUUAUUGGGUUUAAAGGGAGCGUAGACGGGAUGUUAAGUCAGCUGUGAAAGUUUGGGGCUCAACCUUAAAAUUGCAGUUGAUACUGGCGUCCUUGAGUGCGGUUGAGGUAUGUGGAAUUCGUGGUGUAGCGGUGAAAUGCUUAGAUAUCACGAAGAACUCCGAUUGCGAAGGCAGCAUACUAAGCCGCUACUGACGUUGAGGCUCGAAAGUGUGGGUAUCAAACAGGAUUAGAUACCCC